rnacentral:rRNA from 1 species
CAUGCAAGUCGAGGGGCAGCAUGGUCUUAGCUUGCUAAGGCCGAUGGCGACCGGCGCACGGGUGAGUAACACGUAUCCAACCUGCCGUCUACUCUUGGACAGCCUUCUGAAAGGAAGAUUAAUACAAGAUGGCAUCAUGAGUCCACAUGUUCACAUGAUUAAAGGUAUUCCGGUAGACGAUGGGGAUGCGUUCCAUUAGAUAGUAGGCGGGGUAACGGCCCACCUAGUCUUCGAUGGAUAGGGGUUCUGAGAGGAAGGUCCCCCACAUUGGAACUGAGACACGGUCCAAACUCCUACGGGAGGCAGCAGUGAGGAAUAUUGGUCAAUGGGCGAGAGCCUGAACCAGCCAAGUAGCGUGAAGGAUGACUGCCCUAUGGGUUGUAA